rnacentral:tRNA from 1 species
GCCUGGGUGGCUCAGUCGGUUGAGCGUCCGACUUCAGCUCAGGUCAUGAUCUCGCGGUCUGUGAGUUCGAGCCCCACAUCGGGCU